GCUGGGAAAGCCGCUGAACGUGACGUGAUUAGCUAUGUUAUCUCCUGCGGAAGUGAAAGUCCCAUGACCGGAAGUUAGGGAACAGCCGCUGUUUCCCAGGCAGUGCUUCUCCAAUGAACACCUUCAUGUGAGCUCCAUAAGUUAGACACUUUCAAGAGGAAACGAAAACUCAGGGAUUCUAAGGUAGCUCUACGCUACCUCCAAGAGCGUCCAGCAGGAGAAUGGGGAGCCCUGGACAGUCCCCACCUGGCACCCUCCAGACAGAGCUUUGAAGGAAAGGCUUGAAAGCUACACGGAAUAUGAGAUGCAAUUAGACCUGGGUUUGAAGACUCCUCUUCCAUGCAGCAUUGUGAUCUGGGGUGAAGUCCAUGGGGACAGCGGGGUGCACACAUGAGCAGAGGAGAUAGGUGCAGUGUACAGUCCUCAGUUUCUUGCCAUGCAUUUGCAUAUAAUGUCAGACGAUGCCACAUGAACACAGAAUUCUGAUGGACCAGAGACGUGUGGGAGUUCAGUGAGACUCAAAGCCAUUACAAGUUUUCACCAGGCCAAGGUGUGAAGCCUUGUACCAAGACCACAGAAGUGGAGCCCAGAACCAGUCACCUCUGAAGCUAACCGAGUCCCUUUUUAACUGUUGCCAAAAGCCCCUGAUCAUCCCUAAUAAGCUUCCUGA